rnacentral:rRNA from 1 species
AUUGAACGCUGGCGGCAGGCUUAACACAUGCAAGUCGAGCGGGGGAAGGUAGCUUGCUACUGGACCUAGCGGCGGACGGGUGAGUAAUGCUUAGGAAUCUGCCUAUUAGUGGGGGACAACAUCUCGAAAGGGAUGCUAAUACCGCAUACGUCCUACGGGAGAAAACAGGGGAUCUUCGGACCUUGCGCUAAUAGAUGAGCCUAAGUCGGAUUAGCUAGUUGGUGGGGUAAAGGCCUACCAAGGCGACGAUCUGUAGCGGGUCUGAGAGGAUGAUCCGCCACACUGGGACUGAGACACGGCCCAGACUCCUACGGGAGGCAGCAGUGGGGAAUAUUGGACAAUGGGGGGAACCCUGAUCCAGCCAUGCCACGUGUGUGAAGAAGGCCUUAUGGUUGUAAAGCACUUUAAGCGAGGAGGAGGCUCUUUUGGUUAAUACCCAAGAUGAGUGGACGUUACUCGCAGAAUAAGCACCGGCUAACUCUGUGCCAGCCGCCGCAGUAA